rnacentral:rRNA from 1 species
CGCGUAGGCGGGAUGGCAAGUCGGUCGUGAAAUCCUUCGGCUCAACCGAAGAACGUCGAUCGAUACUGCUGUUCUUGAGGGUUGCAGAGGAGACUGGAAUUCCCGGUGUAGCGGUGAAAUGUGUAGAGAUCGGGAGGAACACCGGUGGCGAAGGCGGGUCUCUGGGCAAUUCCUGACGCUGAGGCGCGAAAGCGUGGGGAGCAAACGGGAUUAGAUACCCCGGUAGUCCACGCUGUAAACGAUGACGACUAGGUGUGGGGGGGUUCAGUCCCCUCCGUGCCGCAGCUAACGCAUUAAGUCGUCCGCCUGGGGAGUACGGCCGCAAGGUUGAA